GCAAGAGCUGCAUUUGUUUUACCACUGUCUUUUCUCCAGUUUGACCAAUAAAACUCCAGGCGAGAAGAUCUCUAUUAUAGGCAGCAAAUCUCAUGACAGGUGUUGUGUCAGUUGCAUUGGCCUACAAUAAGGGGCGGGGCUGGAAGUAUCUCGAUGACGACCUAUGUCGUCGAGAUGGUUCGGCCACCAGGGCGAGAACGAUGUGGACAUCGGAGAUAGAGCAGCACGCCGGGAUGGCCCGAGGUGUUCUCGAGACGGCAGCCAGGGCGAGGACGGCAUGGAAACUGGAUCUAGGGCGAGUCGCCAGGGUGGGCCAAGGUUUCCUCAAGAUGGCAUGGCCACAAGGGUGAGGACGGCGCAGACACCAGGGGCCAGGACCGUCGCCAGGGUGGGCUGUGGUUUCCUCAAGACAGCACGGCCACCGGGGCGAGGACGGCAGGGCGAGGGCAGGUCGUGGCCUGGUGGCGGCAUUGAUCACGAACAUAUUGUUUAAU